rnacentral:rRNA from 1 species
GAUGAACGCUGGCGGCGUGCCUAAUACAUGCAAGUCGAGCGAACGGACGAGAAGCUUGCUUCUCUGAUGUUAGCGGCGGACGGGUGAGUAACACGUGGAUACCCUACCUAUAAGACUGGGAUAACUUCGGGAAACCGGAGCUAAUACCGGAUAAUAUUUUGAACCGCAUGGUUCAAAAGUGAAAGACGGUCUUGCUGUCACUUAUAGAUGGAUCCGCGCUGCAUUAGCUAGUUGGUAAGGUAACGGCUUACCAAGGCAACGAUGCGUAGCCGACCUGAGAGGGUGAUCAGCCACACUGGAACUGAGACACGGUCCAGACUCCUACGGGAGGCAGCAGUAGGGAAUCUUCCGCAAUGGGCGAAAGCCUGACGGAGCAACGCCGCGUGUGUGAUGAAGGUCUUCGGAUCGUAAAACUCUGUUAUUAGGGAGGAACAUAUGUGUAAGUAACUGUGCACAUCUUGACGUUACCUAAUCAGAAAGCCACGGCUAACUACGUG